GCCUCGUUGGCGCAGUAGGCAGCGCGUCAGUCUCAUAAUCUGAAGGUCGUGAGUUCGCAGCCUCACACGGGGCA